AUUGAACGCUGGCGGCAUGCUUUACACAUGCAAGUCGAACGGCAGCGCGGGCUUCGGCCUGGCGGCGAGUGGCGAACGGGUGAGUAAUGCAUCGGAACGUGCCCAGUAGUGGGGGAUAGCCCGGCGAAAGCCGGAGUAAUACCGCAUACGACCUGAGGGUGAAAGCGGGGGACCGAAAGGCCUCGCGCUAUUGGAGCGGCCGAGGUCGGAUUAGCUAGUUGGUGGGGUAAAGGCUUACCAAGGCGACGAUCCGUAGCUGGUCUGAGAGGACGACCAGCCACACUGGGACUGAGACACGGCCCAGACUCCUACGGGAGGCAGCAGUGGGGAAUUUUGGACAAUGGGGGCAACCCUGAUCCAGCCAUGCCGCGUGCGGGAAGAAGGCCUUCGGGUUGUAAACCGCUUUUGUUCGGGAAGAAAUCCUCUGGGCUAAUACCCCGGGGGGAUGACGGUACCGGAAGAAUAAGCACCGGCUAACUACGUG
rnacentral:rRNA from 1 species